rnacentral:misc_RNA from 1 species
CAAACUCCAAGCGUUGGCUUGAUGUUGGCCGAUGUCCGGAGAGGGACACGGCUGGAAGGGGUUGGCGCCUCCGGCGGACCACGAGCGUAGCGAGACGAGAGUCAAAAGCGCAUCGAGGGUCCGGACGGACGGCGGCCUUGAGAAAGGGCUGGGAAGCCGAUAGCAACA